rnacentral:rRNA from 1 species
GAUGAACGCUGGCGGCGUGCCUAAUACAUGCAAGUCGAGCGAACAGACGAGGAGCUUGCUCCUCUGACGUUAGCGGCGGACGGGUGAGUAACACAUGGAUAACCUACCAAUAAGACUGGGAUAACUUCGGGAAACCGGAGCUAAUACCGGAUAAUAUAUUGAACCGCAUGGUUCAAUAGUGAAAGACGGUUUUGCUGUCACUUAUAGAUGGAUCCGCGCCGCAUUAGCUAGUUGGUAAGGUAACGGCUUACCAAGGCGACGAUGCGUAGCCGACCUGAGAGGGUGAUCGGCCACACUGGAACUGAGACACGGUCCAGACUCCUACGGGAGGCAGCAGUAGGGAAUCUUCCGCAAUGGGCGAAAGCCUGACGGAGCAACGCCGCGUGAGUGAUGAAGGUCUUCGGAUCGUAAAACUCUGUUAUUAGGGAAGAACAAAUGUGUAAGUAACUAUGCACGUCUUGACGGUACCUAAUCAGAAAGCCACGGCUAACUACGUG